rnacentral:rRNA from 1 species
AGAGUUUGAUCCUGGCUCAGGAUGAACGCUGGCGGCGUGCUUAACACAUGCAAGUCGAACGAACGACUAUUAACAGAACCUUUCGGGGCGAAGAAUAUAGAAGUUAGUGGCGGACGGGUGCGUAACGCGUGGGUAAUCUGCCUUUGUCAAAGGAAUAACUAUUCGAAAGAAUAGCUAAAACCGUAUAACAUAUUAAUAGGGCAUCCUAAUAAUAUCAAAACGAUAGUGGACAAAGAUGAGCCCGCGUCUGAUUAGCUAGUUGGUGAGAUAAAAGCCCACCAAGGCAACGAUCAGUAGCCGACCUGAGAGGGUGAACGGCCACAUUGGAACUGAGACACGGUCCAAACUCCUACGGGAGGCAGCAGUGGGGAAUAUUGCACAAUGGGGGGAACCCUGAUGCAGCAACGCCGCGUGAGUGAAGAAGGCAUUCGUGUCGUAAAACUCUGUAGUAGGGGAAGAAAGAAAUGACAGUACCCUAAAAGAAAGCCCCGGCUAACUACGUGCCAGCAGCCGCGGUAAUACGUAGGGGGCAAGCGUUAUCCGGAAUAACUGGGCGUAAAGGGUGCGCAGGUGGUUUAACAAGUUAGUGGUGAAAGGCAUAGGCUCAACCAAUGUAAGCCAUUAAAACUGUUUAACUUGAGUGCAGGAGAGGAAAGUGGAAUUCCUAGUGUAGCGGUGAAAUGCGUAGAUAUUAGGAGGAAUACCAGUGGCGAAGGCGACUUUCUGGACUGCAACUGACACUGAGGCACGAAAGCGUGGGGAGCAAACAGGAUUAGAUACCCUGGUAGUCCACGCCGUAAACGAUGAGUACUAGGUGUCGGGUGAAGAACUCGGUGCCGAAGUUAACACAUUAAGUACUCCGCCUGGGGAGUACGCUCGCAAGAGUAAAACUCAAAGGAAUUGACGGGGACCCGCACAAGCAGCGGAGCAUGUGGUUUAAUUCGAAGCAACGCGAAGAACCUUA